ensembl:miRNA microRNA 25
AGGCGGAGACUUGGGCAAUUGCUGGACGCUGCCCGCGCAUUGCACUUGUCUCGGUCUGA